GCAGCGCGAAUGGGAGAGUGCGGAAUACCGCCGCCGAAGGCGCAAUCCACCCGGAAACGCUCAGGCACAAGGACCGUUCGUGAAUU
rnacentral:ncRNA from 2 species